rnacentral:lncRNA from 1 species
GGCCUCAAGCUCUCCAUCCUCCUGUUUCAGCCUCCAGAGUGCUGAGGUUACAGGGUCCCCCCUCCUUCUGCUCUGCUGGCGCUCGACCCAGAAGGCAGAGUCUCUCAAUCAAGCCAGAGCCCACCAUUUGGCUGGUAUUGCUUCUCAACUUAUUCUAGGAACCUCCCUAAGCACGGAUCUAUCUCUAUUUCCUGUUUCUUCUUGGUCUUUUUGAGCCUUAAUCAAUCACAGUGAGAGGCAUAUCUGUGAAGUGUGCAGCCAAGGUCCUUGGAAGGUCCUGGAGGCGAAGUUGGAGAGGAAGUACUGGCCUGAGGCCAAGGGCAGCAAAGAGUGAAAAGGGGCCGGGGACAGUGUACAGAGCAGUGGCUGGCUUGUCUCCACUAUCAGACUUUACUCCAGGAGGAGGCAGAGGCCGUGUGAGAGCCGUGCCGCUUCACCUGGCUCCUGACCUAUAUUGGAAGUGACAAACACGGGCUCCGAAAUGCUUACAAGGCACCUUGCCGGCAAGCACUGUGAAGUGAAAAUGAGACUAGAUGCUGAGCAAGUCCCACAAACUGUGUGCCCAAGCUCUGGACAGAGCAGAUAGACACAGUCUUCCUCUGAACUAUGCUUGCUGCAGUCCCUCCACCAGCAUGGAGAAGAAGCUCACAAGGACUGUCCUUCAAGCCUAUAUCCAUGCUCAGCUGUGCCAGCAUCUCUGGGCCUCAGGAACACCGAAGUCCUCAUUCUGAGCCAGGAACACAAUAGAAAUUUCGCAUGCAUGCUAGCAUUGAAGCCUGACAAUGACCACAUUGUCCCCAUUCCACGUGGCAAAGAGAAUAAAAAGACCAGGAGAUGGCAGAAGGACCGAGGACCUGGGGAGAAGACAGGAGGAGACUGGGGAGGGGGGGAGGGGGAAGGAACUGCUGCCUCUUUCCCAUGGAGAGAGAAAUGCCACAGGAUCCGGGCACUCCCUACAUCUCUCCACCUUCCGCCACCCCGUGAGCCUCUGCAGGGAGAUUUUUCUGAAUAAUGGGCCAUUUUCCUGUUUUAAUCAGAUGCAAUUUUGCAAGCAGUUUUUAUGAUUUAGCAAGUCCAUUAAAACUGGCGUUUGUUCUGCUCUGACACUCGAAAGGGGCUCUGCAGAGCAUAAACAUUGGAAAUUACUUAUAGGGAGAGACAAUAUUAAAAUUCCCCAGCCCAAGCCUGUUGUCUGAGAGAUUCUGCUAUCAAGCAUCAUGCCAGCUAUCAUCAGAGGCACUGGAGAUAUAUACUGCCUCCUCUUUAUACACUGGCUGGGGGCUCAGCAACUCAGGCAGCAAUAAAGAGGCUGCUGCUUUCCUUCAACACUUUAGGCAUCCGGAGAGGAAUGGGUCUUAAAGGGAACUUGCGGGAAGAGCAGGUCGCAAGUACAGGCUGGAGAGGAGAAGGGCCAGUGAGCAUGCCUUUAAGAGCCACUGUGGAAACUGCUUUCCGGCCCACAGUGAACAAUAGGGUCUAUUGGUCCAUAAUUAAGGAGGUUGUUUUUUGUCAAUUUCAUUUGUAGUCAAUUCUCAAUUAUCCAUGUACUAACAGAUGACCUGUUCAAAUAAAAAAACCCUCCCA